UACGUAGGGUGCAAGCGUUGUCCGGAAUUAUUGGGCGUAAAGAGCUCGUAGGCGGUUUGUCGCGUCUGCUGUGAAAAUCCAGGGCUUAACCCUGGACCUGCAGUGGGUACGGGCAGACUAGAGUUCGGUAGGGGAGUCUGGAAUUCCUGGUGUAGCGGUGAAAUGCGCAGAUAUCAGGAGGAACACCGGUGGCGAAGGCGGGACUCUGGGCCGAUACUGACGCUGAGGAGCGAAAGCGUGGGGAGCAAACAGG
rnacentral:rRNA from 1 species